rnacentral:tRNA from 2 species
UGGACCAUAGCUCAGUCGGUAGAGCACGACACUUUUAAUGUUGGGGUCGUGGGUUCGAUUCCCACUGGUCCAACCA